CAUUAUUAUGGUUAUUAUAAUAAUUAUGAUUGGGUGAAAUUCUGUAAGUGUUUUCAGUCCUACUCCUUCAAUUUCCCCUGAAGAGGAUUCUGGAUGUGCUCACUUAGUCUCUUUCCCUCAACCAUCUUCCAAAGGGAUUCUGACAUUUCCAGACAGGAUUUUAGGUUGUUUGUGAUGCCAAGUGAGGAGAACAGGUGCAGCUAUGGAAAGGAUAAAGUCAGUGGGCUGAUUUUUAAGGAGAAAAGUCAUGGACAUUCAAACUGGAAGUCACAAUCUGUGGGGAAGGUUCAAGGGCAUCAGGUGCAAAGGGAAGUGAAGAGAGAAGAACCAGGAGCAAGAGGAGGCAGCACAAAAAUCUCUGGGUUAAGAAAUUGGGGGUUUGGGGACUGAGUUUCUGGAAACCUUUGGGGAGCAAGAGAAUUGAGAGAAAGAAAGGGAUUCUACUGUAUUGUUGUUUACCAUGCAUUUACAUCUCUUUUUCAUGUUCUUUGAUGAAUGUAAGUAAAGGAUUUGUGUCAGAAAGCGUACAUUCUUUAUGUUGUGUGCUACUGAUGCUGCUGCUGGUGCUGCCAGAGGUAAUUGGCAAAGAGCUUCCUCCGUGCCCUUUUGUCUCUGUUCUACCAAAUCAUAACACAGUGCCUGGCACAAAGUAUGUGCUACAUAAAUGUCUGUAAAACCAAACAAGUAGUGAUAUUAGGCUGAGCUCUGCUUUCUCAUUUCUUUUAACAGCAGCACCAUCAUUUUUCAGGUUCCUCCCCUGCCCACCAAAAUAAAACGUUUGGCAUCGUCUAUGAAAGUUUCUGUCCUUUACCAACCUGGUACCAAUCUAACACCAAAUCCCAUCCAUGCUUAUUCAAUCAACUUUUUUCUACUCCUUCUGUAAUCAUGCUGUUCCAGGGGUCAUGAGGUCAGGUAGGUAACAGAGCAGUCAGUGUGAGGCAAUAGGGUGCUGGCUGAGCUUUUAGAACCAGAGAGAUUUGGGGUUUGGAGAGGAGCAGUACAUAACAUCCACCUGAAUCUUUCCUCUUAAUUCUGAUUCGGUUGAGAUAGACAAAGAAGUCUAGCUGAGGAGGAUCUAAAUGUCAGUUUUGUUAUUGCUGGAGCUGCUGGUCCACUCAUCUUGGACACUGGUUACCCUACAAAGAGAUUUGGAGGUGAAGUCAAAAUGAAGGAGGAGAUUUCAGAGGCCAGAGACUAGAAGAGAGAAUCUUUGCCUGAGAUGGGAAACAUGGAGGCUCAAGAGGUGGACAAAGCUACAAACUUCAUGAAUGCACCAAAAGUUAAUAAAAGGGGAGUUCGGCUGUGGUCUCAUGCAAAGUGGGUCAUGGAGAAGAGAAUAAGUAGGUUGGGAACAAAUUAUGGGAGAAGUUGGGAAGAAUGACAGCAGCAGAAUUCUGAACAUUGUCUAGCCCUGGAAAUUUGUUAUUCAAAAUGUCCCACAGUCUAGCAAUAUUGGCAUCACCUGAGAGCUUAUUUGAAAAGCAGAUCCUCGGGGCUCACUCUAGACCUGCUGAGUCAAAAUCCUCCUGUUAACAAGAUCCCUAGGUGAUUCCUUUGGGAAGCAUUGUCCUAGAAUAUGCACUUGUCUUCGCAUACAGAUUUUGUGGCCGAGCUGGCUCCUGGUACAUGAGUAGAUCUCUUUGAGUUGAAUAUUCAGGGGUCACACUCAGGAUAUCCAGUAAUAAAGAUGGGUUGAUGAAAUGCUGGGUUGAAAUCUAGUUUUAUUUCCUCAUUUUUUCCUUAGCACUUCAAAUUACAGUGUGGGUCUUGCACAGACUUUCACAAAGGUGGGGAUGGAGGAGAUUUGCGCUCUAUGUGUGAGAAUAAUAUUUUUCAGAUAACAAACUGUGACUUAAUAAGAGCUGGAGGGAGGAUAACUGGAAUAAUCUAAUUACGGAGGAACCAGAGUUUUUAAGUGUCUGUUCAUGUCAUUAGGAUCUGUAAGGUUUUUGAUCUCAAAUAUAUUCCUGCCAGUUUUAAGUGCUUCAGGAUAGGAAAACAGUUGGCCAUCUGGUUUUACUAAACACUUUCUCAUGUACAAAGACAAAAUGUAUUACUUGGAGCAGCUAGGAAGUGCAGUGUUGGGAGAAUUUAGGACACUUCUCUGUACAAACUAUUUCUCAAAGAUGAAGAACUUGGC
ensembl:lncRNA